UACGUAGGGUGCGAGCGUUUAAUCGGAAUUACUGGGCGUAAAGCGUGCGCAGGCGGUCUGUUAAGACAGAUGUGAAAUCCCCGGGCUUAACCUGGGAACUGCAUUUGUGACUGGCAGGCUAGAGUAUGGCAGAGGGGGUAGAAUUCCACGGUGUAGCAGUGAAAUGCGUAGAGAUGUGGAGGAAUACCGAUGGCGAAGGCAGCCCCUGGGCCAAUACUGACGCUCAUGCACGAAGCGUGGGAGCAACAGG
rnacentral:rRNA from 1 species